UGAAGAGCUGUUGCUCAGCAGAAGAGCACGUGCUUGGCAUGCAGAAGGCCCCAGGUUCAAUCCCUGGCAUUUCAA